GGAGAGGUCGCAUAGUGGUCUAGUGCGCAGUCCUGGAAAGACUGUGUCUGAGCAAUCGGACCGCGAGUUCAAAUCUCGCCCUCUCCG
rnacentral:tRNA from 1 species